GACGUAGGGCGCGAGCGUUGUCCGGAAUUAUUGGGCGUAAAGAGCUCGUAGGCGGUCUGUCGCGUCGAAUGUGAAAACCCGGGGCUCAACUCCGGGCUUGCAUUCGAUACGGGCAGGCUAGAGUUCGGUAGGGGAGUCUGGAAUUCCUGGUGUAGCGGUGAAAUGCGCAGAUAACAGGAGGAACACCGGUGGCGAAGGCGGGACUCUGGGCCGAUACUGACGCUGAGGAGCGAAAGCGUGGGGAGCGAACAGG
rnacentral:rRNA from 1 species